UCAAGCGAGCAACCUGUUCGGACGGAAAAUCUCUAGUGGUCAACCAACAGUGAACUGGGAUUGGAUAGGAAGUUUUCGGCUUAGUCAAGUGGAUAACGAUACAGGCUGAUUGGCAGUAAAGAAAAAAUAAACGAAAAUCAGAUCAAAUCAGCUCAAGUUAGCAAGCGGCACAAGUGCAAUUAUCGUGUUGUUGUUUUUUUUAAGUGAACGGUCAAAUCGAGAGAAGAAAAAAAAAAACGUUUUGUGAGUGAAUAGGCAAUACAAAGAGUGCGCCCGAAGAAAGGGAAAUCCAACCCAGCCAGACGUCGCAACGAUGCAACGAUUUCAAGUGCAGGCGAGAAUGCUAGCGAUAGUGGCGUCGCUAGUCGCGUUGGGCAGCUUAUCCAGUGGAGUAGGAGCGACGGCUCUCGAAGGCACCGCCUACUACGGGCGGCGCUACCAAGGUGGUGGCAGCUACAACAAUCGCAUGAUUUAUCCGGACGAAAAGGAACGCUACAAUUUGUUCAACAACAAGGAUGUGAAGCGCGAGGCGGACGAUUUCGACGGUUGCUGUGGUGAUGAUAUCCCCCUGGAGCUCGCCCUGCAGCUUGGCAACAUAACCUCCAGCGACGACGUUUUCAACCUUGUCGAACCGGACUCCAUCGAUCCGCGGAUCUUCUCCAAGGAAGGCUUCGGAGAACGAUCGGCCGGCGAAAUACCGAAACCGGCCGGGUGUAACACCCAACCAACGAUUGUGAGCCUGCGACCGGAGAAUAAUAGCGACCCACGGUUGAUCUACAGCCCGUCGUGCACCCGUGUACAGCGUUGCAGUGGUUGCUGCGUAUCCAAGCGACUUUCCUGUCAGCCUACUUCGACCAGAACGAGGACAUUCACCGUCAACAUCCUCGAGUACGUCAGUGGGGUGAAAACACGCUUCAAGAGCCGCGACUUGGCCCUGAUCGAGGAGCACGUGGGCUGUGCCUGUCAAUGUCGCAUCAAGGAAGAACACUGCAACAGCCUGCAGAGAUACAACGCCCGCAACUGUCGGUGUGAUUGCGUCAAUAACGACGAUCGUUCCAAGUGUCUCCAGCAGCAGGACAUCAAACAGUGGAACCCGGAUACGUGCCUGUGCGAGUGCAACGAUUCGAAGGAGUGCACCAGUGGAUCCUAUUUCGAUCACAAUUACUGCAAAUGUUUACAGACCGACUUUUACAGCAUACAUUAACACCAUUGAUGCACGCCAAAAAGAACAAAUCAAUCGCAUUAUUUUAGUACUAUCACACAUACGAUCACAGAAACAAAUCAUAACUAAUGGUUCAUUUUAUCUGGUAAACAAACAAUAUUUAUUCGUGAUUUGUAGAAAAGAGAAGAAGAAGAAGAAUGGUUUCGAUCAUCGCCGGGAUCGAUCGUUACACCAGUAUAUGUAAUCACUUUACCCUAUAUAUAGUCGUUGUAGAAGCGGCAGAUAAGAAACACACACAAAAAUGGAUGUGCCAAAUCGAACCAACAAACACCCUCCGAGCGAGGAUCUACGGUACUUACGAAACCGGCCAUGUAUGUUAGACUGGAUUUUUAGCCUUAGUGAUACACUGUAUUCCCGAUAUAACUGGUUUGUUUGCGUGUGCAUGUGCGUGUAUUCGCUUCAUUUCGCGAUUUCCACCCAGUGGGUUCCUUCUCCAGCUACUCGGCCAGCCGCUACCGCAACCAGUCCACGCUCGAUCGCAGACGGUUGAUCCUGAAACCCGUCUCAGCCACGUUUUCAUCCGCCUGAAACACUGCCAGCUUGUGGGAUUAACAGAUUGUCGGGCCGUAGAGGUUGAUUCAAUCGUACUAAUACUGCUUUGAACACCCCAUGACCCGAACGAUCGUUGAUCGUGACCCGGUGUAUGUGUGUGUGUGGAACAUCGACAAAGAACGAGAGCACAAAAAAACGUCUUGAAGAGAAGUUGACAGUACAAAUGCGAAGAUUGUGUAAAAAAUAAUCAAAUCGAACGAAGAAUUUGUGGGGGGGAACGGGGCAUCGGAUAAGUGUUGGGAAGGUGCGAACGAAAACGGGACAUUCCGGAUGGAGAAGGUAUCGAGACUGUACAGUGAAUAGUGAGCAAACGCUUUUUGCUCGGGUCCUAAAUUGGCAGUCGUUCUUUUAUGCGGCUGCAAAGCAGCUGGAAGGUGGACAAUUCUAUACCUAAGCGUGAUGAAUGGAUGAGUGUUUGAUGGUUGUUUUGUUUUCAAUUUUAUUUUCAUGUACGGCUCGUUUCCAACUUUGAAAACAAAGUUCAGCAUGCAACGAGCGAUAGUAGUUAUUUAUUUCUGUGUUAAAUGGAGAUUUCAAUAUAAAUAUUUUACGAAAAAUUAACAAAA